rnacentral:rRNA from 1 species
GUGAACGCUGGCGGUAGGCCUAACACAUGCAAGUCGCACGGCAGCACAGUAAGAGCUUGCUCUUACGGGUGGCGAGUGGCGGACGUGUGAGGAAUACAUCGGAAUCUACUUUUUCGUGGGGGAUAACGUAUUGAAACUUACGCUAAUACCGCAUACGACCUACGGGUGAAAGCAGGGGAUCUUCGGACCUUGCGCGAUUGAAUGAGCCGAUGUCGGAUUAGCUAGUUGGCGGGGUAAAGGCCCACCAAGGCGACGAUCCGUAGCUGGUCUGAGAGGAUGAUCAGCCACACUGGAACUGAGACACGGUCCAGACUCCUACGGGAGGCAGCAGUGGGGAAUAUUGGACAAUGGGCGCAAGCCUGAUCCAGCCAUACCGCGUGGGUGAAGAAGGCCUUCGGGUUGUAAAGCCCUUUUGUUGGGAAAGAAAAGCAGCAGGUUAAUACACCGCUGUUAUGACGGUACCCAAAGAAUAAGCACCGGCUAACUUCGUG